GGCUGCAGAAUUUAUAACUGUACAAAGGUAGCAUAAUAAUUUGUUUUUUAAUUAAAAACUAGAAUGAAUGAUUAAAUGAAAUAUAAACUGUUUCAAUUAAAUAAAAAGUUAAUUUUUUAUUUAAGUUAAAAAACUUAAAUAUAUUUAAAAGACGACAAGACCCUAUAGAAUUUUAUUUAUUAUUUAAUAAUAAUAAUUAAUUAAUCUAAUUAAAAUUGAAUAAAAAAUUUAAUUGGGGUAAUUUAAAAAUUAAAAAAAUUUUUUCUAUAAAAAACAUAAAUUAAUGAUUAAAAAAUCUUAAAAUUUAAAUUAUUAAAAUUAAUUACCUUAGGGAUAACAGCAUAAUUUUUUUUAAAAGACCUUAUU
rnacentral:rRNA from 1 species